rnacentral:rRNA from 1 species
AUUGAACGCUAGCGGGAUGCCUUACACAUGCAAGUCGAACGGAGUUGCGAACGGGGGAGUAAUGUAUCUGAACGUGCCCCGUCGCUGGGGAUAACUACACGAAAGCGUAGCUAAUACCGCAUACUAUUGGCUCGGGCGUAAUCGGAUUGGCACGUUGGUGGGGUAACGGCUCACCAAGUCGACGCUCCGUAGCUGGUUUGAGAGGAUGACCAGCCACACUGGGACUGAGACACGGCCCAGACUCCUACGGGAGGCAGCAGUGGGGAAUUUUGGACAAUGGGGGAAACCCUGACCCAGCCAUCCCGCGUGUGCGAUGAAGGCCUUCGGGUUGUAAAGCACUUUUGGCAGGAAAGCGGUACCUGCAGAAUAAGCACCGGCUAACUACGUGCCAGCAGCCGCGGUAAUUC